rnacentral:misc_RNA from 1 species
CUGCUUGCUCAUGGCCGCCUGGAGUUCUGCUCCGGCGCGGUACGGCAACACUACCCUUGUCUAUACAUACCUUUUGUUAUUUCCCUCGGCGGGGUCACACCCGUCGAUGGGGACACUAUAAACCCUUGUAUCUUAAGCAUCAAACUUCUGAGACAAAACAAAAUAAUCA